rnacentral:rRNA from 1 species
GACAGAGGGUGCAAACGUUGUUCGGAAAUUACUGGGCGUAAAGCGCGUGUAGGCUGCCUCGUAAGUCGGAUGUGAAAGCCCUGGGCUCAACCUAGGAAGUGCAUUCGAAACUGCGAGGCUUGAGUCCUGGAGAGGAAGGCGGAAUUCUGGUGUAGAGGUGAAAUUCGUAGAUAUACGUAGAGGAACACCGGUGGCGAAGGCGGCCUUCUGGACAGUGACUGACGCUGAGACGCGAAAGCGUGGGGAGCAAACAGG